UACGUAGGUGGCGAGCGUUGUCCGGAUUUACUGGGCGUAAAGCGCGCGCAGGCGGCAGUCUAAGUCCUCUGUGAAAUCACCCGGCUCAACUGGGUGGCCGCGGAGGAGACUGGGCAGCUUGAGGGGCCUAGAGGCCGGUGGAACUCCCGGUGUAGUGGUGAAAUGCGUAGAGAUCGGGAAGAACACCAGUGGCGAAGGCGGCCGGCUGGGGGCGCCCUGACGCUGAGGCGCGAGAGCGUGGGGAGCAAACCGG
rnacentral:rRNA from 1 species